UACGUAGGGGGCUAGCGUUGUCCGGAAUCAUUGGGCGUAAAGCGCGCGUAGGCGGCCAGAUAAGUCCGGUGUGAAAGUCAAAGGCUCAACCUUUGAAUGCCGCUGGAAACUGUCUGGCUAGAGUCCGGAAGGGGCGAGUGGAACUCCUGGUGUAGCGGUGAAAUGCGCAGAUAUCAGGAGGAACACCGGUGGCGAAGGCGGGUCUCUGGGCCGUAACUGACGCUGAGGAGCGAAAGCAUGGGGAGCGAACAGG
rnacentral:rRNA from 1 species